CAAUCAAAGCGAACCUCCACGCGCCACGUGUACGGUCCAUAUCCAACCACAAACGAAACAGGUUACGAUUGGAACACAGAAUUACAAUAUUAUAUUAUUAUUGUAUUCCCUCUCGCUCGCUCAAAUCCGAAAGUCGGUUGUAUUGUAACUUGUAAGCCACAUUCCGUACUCAGCCCAACUCCACCAUAGAAAGCGAAAACUCUAGAGCCAAAACCAGAGGAAAUUGGUGAAUUCAAGCCAACAACACUGACGAUUGAUCUUAAAAUUCGACGAAUAUGAGUCGGCUUCGGGGCAUCGAUUCUGUUCCGCCGCAAACUGCUUCAGUAAGAACUAUUACUCCGGCUACUUCGACCUCAUAUUGUGCCACUGCCUUCCCGGUUUCGGAGGAUGUGAGCAAGAAGAUUCGGAAGCCUUAUACGAUUACCAAGUCGAGGGAGAGCUGGACGGAGCAGGAGCACGACAAGUUUCUUGAAGCUCUUCAAUUCGGAGAGAAUUCUGGAAAGGACGAGAAAGUUUCCGAGGAGGAAUUUUGCUUUUUGGCCAGUCCGUAUUUCUCUGUGACUUACAUAUUUGAUCGUGACUGGAAGAAGAUAGAAGCAUUUGUUGGCUCAAAAACAGUUAUCCAGAUUCGGAGUCAUGCUCAAAAAUAUUUUCUGAAGAUCCAAAAGAGUGGGAAAAGCGAGCACGUACCUCCUCCUCGACCGAAGAAGAAGGCAUCUCAUCCAUACCCACAAAAAGCUCCUAAGAAUGUGACCACUCGGAAUCCUGGGACGUAUCAACCUAUAUCUUCUCCCUUCGAACAAAGAUAUAUUUACAUUCCAGACUCAACAGCAGGGUUUGGACAUCCCUGUCCAAACGCUAAUAUUUCUUCUUGGAGCUGUAGUCCUGUGCCGACUAUUGAUGUGACGACACAAGUACCUAAAGAUGGUGUAAAAUUAGCUGGAUCGACAUUUGCAAGUAACUGUUGCUACAGUAGCAGUAAUGAGAGCACGCCGAGGACAUGGAAAAUUGGAGAAAUUUCUGAACAAGGAGAUCAGAGCAUGCGAAACAGAGUAAUGCCAGAUUUUGCUCAGGUUUACAGCUUUAUUGGCAGUGUUUUUGAUCCCAGUGUCUCUGGUCAUCUUCAGAGACUAAGACAGAUGGACCCAAUAGAUUUAGAGACGGCACUGCUUUUAAUGCAAAACCUUGCCAUCAACUUGCUCAGUCCAGAAUUUGAGAAUCAUGAAGAGAGAGUAGAGCAGCAGUGAUGGCGAGAAAGAGAGAUAUCUAGGAGAUGGAGAUGGAGCUGCUUUCUGGUGGGGGAGAAUCGAGUGCCCAUUUUUUUUUAAGGAAAAAAAAUUAUGAUUCGAGAGCCCAAGAGACUUACGGGAAGAAAACCAACUUUUGGAAGGAAAAGUGGACGGGGGAUAAAACUCUCUGAUAGAUACCUUCACCUUCACCAUUAUUUUGCUGUUGUGCAACCAAAGGAGGUCACAGACCGUCUGGGACAAAUAGGGUGGGAAUUAAAUCAGUAUAAACAGGGCGAUGCUUUUUUGUUUCUCCCCUGACUAGUAGUACUGAUUGAAGAGUGUGGAUGGCAGAUGCUCAUUUCCUCACAGUUUCUUCUCGCUUAAUAGAUUACUUAAUACUCAAGGAAAGAACCUCGCUAAGCUAUGUGGAAACGAUGGACAACCAAAAAGGCAAAUUCCCUAUGGCACCUCGUGUAAUGGAAGUAUGAACACAACCAAAGGAGUUCAGAAAGGGUGCCCAAUUUAAGUCGGUAUGUUUUAUGUAAGUAAGCCGAAGGAAGCCAAGACCAUCUGUUUUUAGGUGUUCUUCAGACUAAAAGUGUUGGAGCCACAUAAUCUUCAAGAUUUAGCUACCAUAGCUAGCAAAAGGAUACUUGUUGCAGUUCUUAUUUGGUGAUGGAAGGGUGAAGCUCUGUGGACCAAUGCUGUUAAAGGGAUGGUUGGUUGGAAAGAAAUUCCUGAAUCUUCAACGACAAGGAAAGCUGGGAGGAAGAUUUGGAUAUAGUUGAAUUUCAUGUUCCUUUUGUAGUUACUCCAACUGUAAUUUGUUAUUAUCUCAUAUUGGAGAUUGUUUUGUAAAUUUCUAGGAGGAAUAUCAAAUUUAUCUAUUCUUUUUACUACAUCAAUGAGAAGAGCCUCUUGUUGUUAGAAAGUCUACAUUCCUGGUGGUCAUGGCAGUGAAAUGUCAAACACUGUGAAGUUCACGCUUUUGGUGUCGGUCACAUGGGGGUCUAGGUCUAAAGCCAGACGUUCGGAUUAUGGAGAACGUUUUCCCAUACCAUUAGUUAAGAGGACUAAGACAACUGAUACUUUGCGGGCUUGAAGCUGAGACCAACAGGAUGGGAGCACGCCAGUCUCUAUCUAACCAGUAGGGCAGUUGAAGUUCUUGAAACUUCAAUAUUUGUUUCUGCUCAGCUUUAAAAUGUAUUAUAGUCUGUCAUUUAAGGUAUCAAGUAGAAUUUUGCAGUACAGCCAGUCGAUUUAUUUCACUUACUGUGUAGAUAGCAUUAGUAAAAUAGACAUUCUAACAGUGAAAUUAUUCUUAUACAAAUUUAUUCUACAAUGAUUUAAUUACUCUUGCUUUCAUUUUAGUUUAAUAGGUGCACACCAGUUGAUCAUAUAUUUACAUUAACUAUUAUUUGGGGGUUUACUUGUCAUCUAUUGUUGUUUUUUGUUUUUUAAUUUAUUGUUUGUUUUUUUUUUCUUUACACUAUUUGGUUCUCAAUAACGAUAGAUU